rnacentral:lncRNA from 12 species
CUCAAACUCCCUUCAAUCUCCCUCCAGUGCAGCAAACAAGGAGCUGAGUUCAACAGGGGACCAGUUUGGUGGCUGAUGUUCUGGUGCUGGACCAUCUCACACAGCAGUCAGAUACAGGGAGACUUUGUGCAGUCAGAUUGCCACACUGGAGAAUGAGCUGCCUGCCAU